GCCGCCCCCUUCCCCGGUGCCCUCUCGCGGGGGCUCCGCCGCCGCCCCGCUGGGCUGGAGCGGCCGCAGCGCUGCCGUAGCCCCGGCACCGGGAUCCGGGCACAGGAGCGGCCGCUCAGUUGCUGCGGGCUGGGGGACAGCGGAGGCACCCCGGGGACGGGGGCGGCUGCUCGCGCAGAAUUUCAGAGACAGGACAGCGUGGAGCCGUGCUGCCUCCUGGGCAUCCCGGUCCGAACAGCUCCUCGGGAUCCCAACACCAAACUUCGCUGUUUGCGUUUAAUGCGCACCUCUUCAGGCUUUGAAGCCAUACCGGGGAGAUCGCUCCGAUACCAGUUCAGAGAAGUGCCCAAGAUUUGCAGCCUCAUUCAGGAGUUCAAGCUGUGAAUGAAAAGCCACUGGAGAAAAGUGGAUUGUGUCUGGGGAGUUCAUGUACCUGAUACCCAGACUAUACACCAGGCUUCAGCAGAGCAAUUGCUGCCUACUGCCUCCCUGUGAGAAAUCAAAGGGCUGCCUGAGCAUGCAGUAUUUAUGAGAUUGUAACAUCUUCUCUUGUCUUGGUAGAGGGAAAUACAUUUCAGAAAUAGAGCUUAGGAUAAAUCAACGUGUAAUAAAAAAUAGAUUCACACUAGGUGAAUCUUUGCACUAACUCAGCCAUUACUCAGACCUUGUUGGAAAGGAUGUUUGGUUUAUUAAAGGCUCAGCCUUGCUUAAUUAAGUGUCUCUAUUGACCCCCAAGGUAUUCACAGGAAUAUAGAGAAAAGGGGUACACUUUCAGACAAAGCAAAUUUUAGGGAAAGGAUCAAUUGCUGGAAUGACAGAGUAAAUACAUGUAAUGAAACUUGAUAUCACAGCAAGCAGAGAGAAGAGAAGAGAAGAGAAGAGAAGAGAAGAGAAGAGAAGAGAAGAGAAGAGAAGAGAAGAGAAGAGAAGAGAAGAGAAGAGAAGAGAAGAGAAGAGAAGAGAAGAGAAGAGAAGAGAAGAGAAGAGAAGAGAAGAGAAGAGAAGAGAAGAGAAGAGAAGAGAAGAGAAGAAGAGAAGGAUGAUGGGAGAGAGCACAGCAGGCUGGUGUGUAGCUCUGAUGGCAGGGUAAAGGAACAAGGAACAAGGACUUUCUUUGCAGUUAGGCUUUUGUUCUCAAAAUGAAUUUUUAAUGGAUCCUAACCUGUUGGCAUGCAAAGGCAAAUAGACUGUAUGAGAUCCUUCUGCUCUUGUUGACAGCACCAUGUUCCUAAAUUGUAAAGCAGUGGUUUUGUUUGAGGAGUAGAUUUGAUAGGCUGUGUGUGACAAACCAUUUGGGAUUCUCCUCACCAGGACCACAAAGUGAACUUGCUGACAAGGAGGAGGAAAAAAAUACCAGAGGAGGAGGAGGACAAAAUAAUAAAAUAUAUUGAGAGUAUGUAGUUAUGGAAGAAUCUGCUGCAAAACCAGAAAAAUGCUGGAAGUCACAGUAGUCAGGGAGCAGCUGGAGAGAGCAACAGACUGCACAAGCAAUAGAACAUCUGGGAAAUGAUGGGAAAUGAAGCAUGAAGAGGAAGAAUUGAAAUCAAGUGAAAAUCAAAGAAGCCAAUGCCACUAAAGCUAUCAGUUUAGAGUCAUUAAUUUGGAUUUGCCCUUCUCUUUGGCUGUUUUUUAAAUUAUUAUUAUUAAUUCUUAGACACAGUCCAGGCAUUCACCUUUACUUAUUUCUGUAAUCUGCCUUUGCUUUUCUCUUGUUUUUCCUGAAUAAGACAUGUAUGGGGAUGAGGCAGGAGUGGGGGCUGGGAUGAACUGCUCUCACUUGCCUGUAAAAUAUCUCUUUUAAUGUCUUGCAGCCAAAAAAGAAGCUUGGUGUCAGGCAAACCAAACUGAGGAAGAAAAUACUAGAGGAAAAUAUUGUAUUGAUCAGGUUGAUCUUAACAGUGUCAGGAGGAAUUAUAAGUAACUCAAGAUUGUUCUGCAAAAUUCUACAGCCUCAUGGACCACCUCACAAACUGGCGUGAAAUGGGGAAAGGUUGAAGGGUAAGCACAGGGAAUACAUGAGUAUCACAGAAAUUGUUUGCAGGCUUCCACUGAUUUGUUGCCUCUCAGUAAUGUCACCUUCCCCAAUCAGUAGGAAUAAAACUAUUAGAUUAAUCUACAAGUUGGUUAAUACCCCUAGAUGUAAGCUAUAGUCAAAUAAAGAAGCAAUUUUACCAUGUAAAUAAAAAUAAUUAGUGGUAAAAAUAGUCCUCAUUUUUUGUAGGUAAUGCAAAUUUGCAAAUCAUGCUGUAAUGAACAGUCACAAAUCUGAGACUUGCUAACAGUAGCUGUAUGAGUGGAGUGAUCAGUAUCUUGCCUGUGCUCCUUAUUUGACAGGGCAAAAAACACACACUUAAAAAUACAGUAAUUGAGUAUCAGUUUCAGCCUUUUAAAGUGAUGUAUGGAAGAUUACCUAUCCUACAUAGAUGCUAAUUUGAGAACUGGUUGUUUUUCAUUAUAGAAGCAAUACAUAUUUUGUUGGGUGGUUCAUUUUGGUUUUUGUUUGGGGUUUUUUUACUAAAAACCCCACGAGAUUAUUAAUACCAGAUUCAGAGACAUUUUUAGUAUUAAAAGGAAGGCAUCUUCCAAAGGCAGGAAAUUCAAAAUGAGAGUGGAAAUUCUGCCCUAGAGCUUUUUUCCAUAGGGGGGGGGUUGAUGGAGUUAUUUUAGCAGCCUUUUGGUUUGAGAAUAGCUCUGCCUAGGGAAUGAAUGGAUUUUCACAGAGGUCUGGAAGUGCACAGGCUCAGCUGAGGUGCCUCAGCUCAGUUCUGUGGCCAGCACUAGAGGGCACAGCCUCAGCUCUGCUGGACAAGGGCUGCCUGUGGGCAUUGCAGCCCUACCAAAACAACCCUCAGCUGGGCUGGUUUGGGUUGUUUUCAUUCAUUCUGCCCUUUACAGAGAGGUUUCCUUUAGACAUUUGUCCCUUUUUAUCUUUGCAAUGUCUAAAUAAGGGUUUCCUUACUGGUGUAUAAUUAGUCCAAUUUUCCCUCUGGAUUUGUACUCAUCUCUAGAAUGAAUUUCAGUGGUGUAAGGAGAAAGGGAAAUCCUGCCCUUGUCAAUGUGAGCACAGGCACCUUAAAGAAUGUUUUUACAGAAUGGCAUUUCCUUGCAUAUGGCCAUAGUAAUGGUCAUAAAAUGUGAACACCUUGGAAGAAAAAGGGGUUUGGGGGCAGAAAACACAAUCAAAAGGAACCUGAAGGAGAAAGUCCAAACCUUGGAAUUUUAAUACACAUAAAAAUCAGAGUAAGAUGACACUAUGAAUUCUCUCUAGCGGGAAUUAUGGUCUCAAUUCUGAGGAGAACCUGAGCAUUUCUUUUCUCAUUUUUAUUCCUAAGAGUGACUGCAUAGUCCACUCUUACAAACCCAGCAUUAUUGCACCAGGGCUAAAUGCUACAGCCAAAAGCCAGCACCACCCUGCCAUGCUUAGAGUGGUGCUUUAUUUUGGUAGCUGGACUGGAAGCACUGACUGGAGAAGGGCUCUUAUUGUGCUGCCUGCUUUUCUUGCUGCUUUGCAAUUGACAAAGCAUCAUUUAUCACGCUUUGCAUUCCAAUUUUUCUUUGCACGUUUUCCAGCUCAUCAUAACAUAAUUAUGUUUCUGUUUCCUUCAGCCAGGGGCUGAUACUUUCUUUUACUAAGACAACAGCUGCACUGCACAACCUUGAUGAAUCCCCAUAAGGGUAAAGAGAGUCUGUGGUGCUUGUUUCUGCCUUGGCAACCCAAAUGUUCAAGCUCUUUUUUGUGACAAAUGCUGCUCUAAAAUGUACCCAACCCUGAUGCCUUCAUAGCAUUUCUCAAAAUUAGGUUUUAUAUUGUAAAUUACACUUGAAAUAUUCAACAUUCUGCCUGGUUUGUAAUUUUAAAGGCUUCCUUUGUAACAUUUCUGUUUAUGGUUUAUAGGUUAUAGACUCUGGGAUGGAAUUUAGAAGGCUGUAUUCACUGAUGUGAAAUUUGUAUUUUGAAUGAAAUUGACUUUAUGUGUGACAAUAA